UACGGGGGGGGCAAGCGUUGUUCGGAAUUACUGGGCGUAAAGGGUUCGUCGGUGGCUUGUUAAGUCAGACGUGAAAUCCCUCGGCUCAACCGGGGAACUGCGUCUGAGACUGAUGAGCUCGAGUGCAGGAGAGGAACGCGGAAUUCCAGGUGUAGCGGUGAAAUGCGUAGAUAUCGUCUGGAACGCCGAAGGUGAAAACAGCUCGCUGGGGCUGCGCUGACGCUGAGACACGAAAGCCAGGGGAGCGAACGGG
rnacentral:rRNA from 1 species